AUGAGCUCCGCGCCCGGGCGCUUUAUAUAACCGGAAGAUCCUGUGGUGCCCUGCAAACUCUGUCCCCCGACCUUAGCAUGAGUCAGAAGGGUUAGCAGUUUGCUUCCUCGGCCGAAGGCUGUCGCUACGUCCUGCAGACGUUUGUAUUAACAUGUACAGAAACUUCUCAAUUUGGCCUUAGUCCCAGGUUCCUGACCAAGAGUGUCUUAAGACCUCCAGCUUCUACAGAGUGCCUUGCCCUGGGGGAAGCCAGCUGCUUCUUAGGGAGAGGUACAAGUGGAGAAGAACUGAUAUCUGCAGCCAACAGCCAGAGAAGACCCGAGGCCUGCCAACAACAGCACAGGAGAGAGCUGGAAACACGAUUCUCCAGCCUUGAGAUGACAGCAGCUCCAGCUGUCAACCUGGCUGCAGCCACCAAGGAGACUUGGAGCCAGAGGACCCAGUGAAGCCGCACCCAGAUCCCUAACCUUCGGAAACUGUGAGAACAUUUUAUCGUCUGUUUUAAGCUACAAAAGUUGGAGUGACUCGUUACCCAGCAGAUAACUGCUACCAGGACAUUGUUUAUCACUCAAAAUCACUACCUAAAGCUCCUGGAACUUGGAGAGCUGCAUCCUGGGAAAAGCUGGCAGUGUCCAGGAACCGUGUGCUGAUGAUUAAACAGUGAGAUGCACUUCCAUGGGUUUUCCUUCCAGUUUUGACCACCAGGAAGCUCAGAAACAAAUUUCUGACUUGGUUUUAGUAACUGGGCAGCCCCUGUGGUCUGCUGGUCUCCGUGUUCUUAACUCCUGGUUACUCUGUCUUGUCUUUCUCGUCUUUGUGAUUUUUUAGUUUAUUUGUUUUUCUACAGUAUAUGGAUUAUGGUAAGCAACCUCGAAUUCAGC